rnacentral:rRNA from 1 species
GCUAACUACGGGCCAGGAGGGCAGGGAAUGCGUAGGUGGCAAGGGUUAUCCGGAGUUAUUGGGCGUAAAGCGAGCGCAGGCGGUUUUUUAAGUCUGAUGUGAAAGCCCUCGGCUUAACCGAGGAAGCGCAUCGGAAACUGGGAAACUUGAGUGCAGAAGAGGACAGUGGAACUCCAUGUGUAGCGGUGAAAUGCGUAGAUAUAUGGAAGAACACCAGUGGCGAAGGCGGCUGUCUGGUCUGUAACUGACGCUGAGGCUCGAAAGCAUGGGUAGCGAACAGGAUUAGAUACCCGAGUAGUC